GCUUAACAGCACCAUUACAGUCACUGAAUCUUCUAUCUUGGCAUCAUCAGUCCCUCGGGAUUAUGGCCUUCAAAAUAUCUAUUCAAUAUCCUACCUGUACUUUGGAGCCCUGUCAACUAGUGCAGUCGUGCUGGUAGGUGUGGUGGUUAGUUACAUUACAGCACCCACCAAGAAGGAUUCUAUCAGUCCUGGUUUGUUACGAUGGAACUUG